rnacentral:tRNA from 1 species
GAUCUUAUAGUAUAAUUUAAUACAUUAAUUUGCAAAAUUAAAUAUGUUUACAAGCUAAGAUUU